AGGAGUCAAGGAGGAGGAGACGAGUGGAGGAGGAUUCAACCAUUGACUGUUCUGACGUGUUGGACCUCUCACACAUCGGUUGGAGCACCGACAGCCUCCUCAGCAGUACAGUGAACGCCUCAUCAGCCGAUACCACCCUGGUGCCCGACACUACCCACAAUGCCACUGUGCAGAGUCCCAGUCCUCAGAAACCCCCCGCCAGUCCAGGUAGACGUCCUCGGCGAUCGUCUUCCUCCCGCUGCGUCUCCUCCUCAUCCUCGUCUCCGCUGGUCUACAGUAUCCUGGUGGAGGACAAACAGCCUCGUUACAGCCUGAGGAGCCGACGAUCAGAGACUCCAC